GCAGCUACACCGGGGAUGAACAACUUUUGUCACGUGACCGCAAAAGUCAACGCCGGUUGCAGAAACAGAUUGUAAUCUUGUACAUUAAGAAACAUGACGCUCGUGUGUGAAAUCUGUGGAAAGACAUUUAAAUCGAAGUGGGGGUUAAAGCUUCAUGAUAAGCGCCACAGAGGGACUGGACGAUUCGCCUGUUGUGGAAAAACAUUUUACACAAAACAGGCGUUCAACAGACACAGAUGCAGCAUUCAUGGUGUUGAAAAGCCGUUCCCCUGUGAACAAUGCGGCAAAAAGUUUUCAACCAAAGAUGACCUGAAUCGUCACGUCCGGAGGGAGGUUGCUGCAAAGCAAUUUACCUGCUCAAUUUGCAAUGCAACGCUCCGGGAGAAAAUUGACCUUCAGGCCCACCUUGCCACCCACAAUGGAGAGAAAAACUUUGCUUGUGAUAUGUGUGAAAAGAGGUACAGGCACCGCAGUAGUCUAUCAAAGCACAGAUCUGCAAAGCACCGGGCCUAGUCAUCUGUUGCAUGACGAUGAUAAGACCAAGAAUUAUUUUUAAUUCUUACCAAUGUGCCGUGGUUAUUUUCUUAAUUAUUGAAAAUACAGACUGUCAUACAAUAAUAUAUAGUAUUACGCGUGUUUUUGCGUCUUAAACAUUGUGUUUCAUAUCGUUUAUCUUGUGUUGUUUUGUUUGAUAUUCCUGUUUUUAAUAAGAUUAUUGUUGUAAUAUUUAUCAUUCUAAUUUAAAAUGAUUAUGAUAAUGGUUGAUCUCAUACAAAUUAUUGUGUUCAUUAUUGCUCAUCUGUGAUUACUGUUGAUCUCAGCCCAUGAAUUGUGAUUUAUAUUGAUUAUCUGUGAUUAUUGUUGAUCUUAUCAAAAUAAUUGUAAUUUAUGUUGAUUAUCUGUGAAUUUUUUAUCUUAACCUAUUAAUAGUGAUUUAUAUUAUCUGUGAUUAUUGUUGAUCUUAUCAAAAUCAUUGUGAUUUAUGUUGAUUAUCUGUGAUUAUUGUUGAUCUCAACCGAUUAAUUGUGAUUUAUAUAACCAGUGAUUAUUGUUGAUCUUUUCAAAAUCAUUGUAAUUUAUGUUGAUUAUCUGUGAUUAUUGUUGAUCUUUUCGAAAUCAUUGUAAUUUAUGUUGAUUAUCUGUGAUUAUUGUUGAUCUUUUCAAAAUCAUUGUAAUCUAUGUUGAUUAUCUGUGAUUAUUGUUGAUCUUUUCAAAAUCAUUGUAAUUAAUGUUGAUUAUCUGUGAUUAUUGUUGAUCUUUUCAAAAUCAUUGUAAUUUAUGUUGAUUAUCUGUGAUUAUUGUUGAUCUCACCAUAUCCGCUGGAAUAUACAUUUGAGCCGCGCUCUGUGAAAAGGGGGUUUAAUGCAUGUGCGUAAAGUGCAGUCCACAUAGGCUAAUCAGGGACGGCACUUUCCGCUUUUAUGAUAUGUUUUGUUAAAAGAAAGUCUCUUCUGAGCAAAAAUCGAGUUUAUCGGAAAGGUUUGUCCCUAAUUAGCCUGUACGGAAUGCACAGGCUAAUAUGUGACGACACCUUACGCACAUGCAUUAAACCCCCUUUUCACAGAGCGAGACUCAUUUGUAAUCUGCGAUUUUUGUUUAUCUAUUUCGAAUCAAUAUGAUUAAAAUAUAUUUUUGGUGAGUUAGCUUUUUGUCUCAUUGGAAUCAUUGUGCGAAUUGUCAACAAUUACAUGUAAAUCUGUAAUUCCUUCUCAAGUUGCACAUAGGCCAGUUUAAUGUUUUGCGUAUAAGCUAUUAUUGCGAUACGGGAUAUUCUUUGCAGCAAUAAAACAAUUAAUCUGCA